UACGUAGGGACCAAGCGUUGUUCGGAUUUACUGGGCGUAAAGGGCGCGUAGGCGGCGCGGUAAGUCACUUGUGAAAUCUCUGAGCUUAACUCAGAACGGCCAAGUGAUACUGCAGUGCUAGAGUGUGGAAGGGACAAUCGGAAUUCUUGGUGUAGCGGUGAAAUGCGUAGAUAUCAAGAGGAACACCUGAGGUGAAGACGGGUUGCUGGGCCAACACUGACGCUGAGGCGCGAAAGCCAGGGGAGCAAACGGG
rnacentral:rRNA from 1 species